AAUUCGAUUGAGUUUGAUCAUGGCUCAGAACGAACGCUGGCGGCAGGCCUAACACAUGCAAGUCGAACGCCGUAGCAAUACGGAGUGGCAGACGGGUGAGUAACGCGUGGGAACAUACCCCUCGGUUCGGAAUAACUCAGGGAAACUUGAGCUAAUACCGGAUACGUCCGAGGUUUUAAUCGACCUCGGAGAAAGAUUUAUCGCCGGAGGAUUGGCCCGCGUCUGAUUAGCUUGUUGGUGAGGUGAUGGCUCACCAAGGCGACGAUCAGUAGCUGGUCUGAGAGGAUGAUCAGCCACAUUGGGACUGAGACACGGCCCAAACUCCUACGGGAGGCAGCAGUGGGGAAUAUUGGACAAUGGGCGAAAGCCUGAUCCAGCCAUGCCGCGUGAGUGAUGAAGGCCUUAGGGUUGUAAAGCUCUUUCACCCGGGAAGAUAAUGACGGUACCGGGAGAAUAAGCCCCGGCUAACUUCGUGCCAGCAGCCGCGGUAAUACGAAGGGGGCUAGCGUUGUUCGGAAUUACUGGGCGUAAAGCGCACGUAGGCGGAUCUUUAAGUCAGGGGUGAAAUCCCGAGGCUCAACCUCGGAACUGCCUUUGAUACUGGGGAUAUCGAGUCCGGGAGAGGUGAGUGGAACUGCGAGUGUAGAGGUGAAAUUCGUAGAUAUUCGCAAGAACACCAGUGGCGAAGGCGGCUCACUGGCCCGGUACUGACGCUGAGGUGCGAAAGCGUGGGGAGCAAACAGGAUUAGA
rnacentral:rRNA from 1 species